CAGCCGCCGCGGUAAUACCAGCACCCCGAGUGGUCGGGACGUUUAUUGGGCCUAAAGCAUCCGUAGCCGGUUCUGCAAGUCUUCCGUUAAAUCCACCUGCUUAACAGAUGGGCUGCGGAAGAUACUACAGAGCUAGGAGGCGGGAGAGGCAAGCGGUACUCGAUGGGUAGGGGUAAAAUCCGUUGAUCCAUUGAAGACCACCAGUGGCGAAGGCGGCUUGCCAUAACGCGCUCGACGGUGAGGGAUGAAAGCUGGGGGAGCAAACCGGAUUAGAUACCCGGGUAGUCCCAGCUGUAAACGAUGCAGACUCGGUGAUGAGUUGGCUUCUUGCUAACUCAGUGCCGCAGGGAAGCCGUUAAGUUUGCCGCCUGGGGAGUACGGUCGCUAGGCUGAAACUUAAAGGAAUUGGCGGGGGAGCAC
rnacentral:rRNA from 2 species